CAGCCGCCGCGGUAAUACGUAGGUGGCAAGCGUUGUCCGGAAUUAUUGGGCGUAGAGCGCGCGCAGGCGGAUCAGUCAGUCUGUCUUAAAAGUUCGGGGCUUAACCCCGUGAUGGGAUGGAAACUGCUGAUCUAGAGUAUCGGAGAGGAAAGUGGAAUUCCUAGUGUAGCGGUGAAAUGCGUAGAUAUUAGGAAGAACACCAGUGGCGAAGGCGACUUUCUGGACGAAAACUGACGCUGAGGCGCGAAAGCCAGGGGAGCGAACGGGAUUAGAUACCCCCGUAGUCCCUGUCUCUUAUACC
rnacentral:rRNA from 1 species